GCGUCCAUGACGACGUCAGGGCCCAAGCAGAAGCAGCAGCAGGACUCCUCCACGGCGUCCACGUCAAGCUCGCCAGCCAUUAAAAGGAGGUGAUGGCUGGUCUACCCAACUCCUGAUUGUGUGUGGUCGCCGGCACGGAAGGACAGCGCGCUUGAGCUGCUGCAGCUGGGCGUCUCCGGCUCGCCAAGAUCGAUCCCGACCACCACGACACCCACCAACCUGAAGUUAUGCAGUGCCGGCCUCCCUGAGUUCAUGCUGCUCGGAGAUGUGCUGCCGGUGCCUUCCCCGGCCUGCUGCCUCUGGCGACAUGAUGCCGCAACAUCCGUCCGAUGAGUUCACCAGCUACUGAUGUCGCCGUAGGGUAGGACCUGCAGCUCGCCCUGGGGCUGCCUCAAGCACGAGGAGGGACACUCAACUACCGUUGCACUGAGGAUGACUAGAUGACACAACCCGGGGAAGCUAGUUGGAGGGUACUCCUGGCAUGUCAGCUGGACACCAUGCGAAGAUUUUCCAGUUCUCACGGAGGAACUCGACGAUCGCGCUUUCCUAUGCGAUAU